GCUAUUCUUCAAUGGGCAUCCCUGACAUCAACCAAGAGAGUGCAGAGCGUACUAGGGUUUGCCAUUUCUACGGGGAUUUAUCGCAGGAUUUUCUCAAAUUGUUCAUCCUAUCACUUCUUUAAUAAGAAAGAAUAAAAAGUUUUCUUGACUCCCGACGCUGAAAAAGCAUUCCAGGAAUUGAAAUCGACUUUCACUUCAGCACCAGUUCUUCGGCCUCCUCGACCUAACCUACCCUACGUGGAUGAGACCAACGCUUCCAGUGUGCCAUGGAGCGGUGUUAUCACAAAGGGACCCAGAAACGGGCUGUUACAUCCAAUAGCAUUUUGCUUCCGUAAGUUUACAGCACCAGAAAUGAACUAGCCAUAACCGACAAAUAUUAUCGGUGAUCAAAGGAACCCUUAAAACCUGGAGACACUACCUGCUGGGGGCUAGACAUACUGUCACCAUUAUCACAGAUCACCGUAAUUUGCAAUAUUUAAAAACAGCCAAGGCCCAAUCUUCUCAUCAGCUUCGCUGGGCUUCUGUCUUCGUGGAGUAUGAUUUUGUGAUCACAUACCGACCAGGAGUCCGUAACGGAAAAGCAGACGCUCUGUCACGAAUGGGAGAAGACAAAGACACAUUUAUACCAUCAGAACCAGUACCCAUCAUUCCGGAGGAGCAAAUUCAAAAUCAGAUUGCAGUAACCGCCAGCUGGGAAGAUUUGAAGAUCGACUCCAGUCUCAAAUGGACCAAACCGCCCAACAAGAAUGGUUAAACAAAGGAGACCAGUACUCCAUCACAGACAAUUUGGCCUAUUUCCUGGAGAGACCAUACAUCGGAGAUAAAGAAACUCAAAACAAGAUUAUAGCCAAUUACCAUGAAUCAUUAGUGGACGGACAUCCCGGGAUUACUAAAACACGAGCCAAAAUCAGGAAGAAUUAUUGGUGGCCAACCUGGAGAAAGGCGUGGCCCACUUUAUUGCAACCUGCACAGUUUGCACACAACAGAAAUCCAAAGGUCCAGUGCCACAGGAUUAUUGCGUCCACUAAGUAUACCACCGGUCCCUUGGCAUACGUUAUCCAUGGACUUCAUUACAGAUUUACCUCCCUACGAAGGCUUCAACACAAUUUUAGUGGUGGUAGAUUUGUUCUCCAAGAUAGCACACUUUAUUCAACUAAAAGGACGUCCUACUGCUGGAACUCUGGCCUCUGUAUUCCUAGAACAAGUAAUCAGACUACAUGGUUUUCCUUCAGUACUGAUUUCUGAUUUGUCUCGUAACAGGUGAGCAAUCUUUCAGCAAGCAUUGCGGUAACCAAACGUUCCUGGAGAAUCUGGCAGGCAGCCCGGGAGAGUUCUAUUUUCUUGUGAUGGGCAGGGCAACCUGGAAUGGGUUUCCCUGAAAGAGGUGCCUGAGCCUUGGAAAUCGUUGCAGUUCCAGUGGCGUCCGGUGAGCUCUUGGCUUUCCUUGUUAAUCCAUGGAAGACAGUGUAAAUCGUAUGCCGGGCGUACCCAUAUACACAGCAGGUCUGCAAGGUGAACAUCCUCUGGCACAGAACAAUGUAGGUAAGGGAAGUCGGCAAGUCAGAUUCAUAACUUCGGGAUGAGAAUUGGUCUAAGGACUGGGUGGGCCAGGCUGGUAUGCAUAGCAGGACUGGGCAUGCCUCAUGGAUGGAUAUAGUACCCCCCUGGGGUCCAGUCAAGUCUUGGAAGUGAGCCAGGCCAUUUCUGUGGAUUGACCCAGCUAGGGUGGUUGCCUCUCUUCAUUCUCUUCCAGGGUUUCGGGGGUCCGGUGUUCUGCCUCAGCUGAUGUCUAGCAGCCAUGUUACAACUGGUGCAGACUAGGGGAAUCCAAUUGUUUAAUUAAAACAAGUUAUCACAAAGGCCUGAAGCUUGUGUUGACACAAUGUGAUUUUUACCAGUGCUCUGAAUGAUGAAGUGAAGAAAUUCACUGAAGCGCAGGUAAUCAGCGGGAGUAACUAUGACUCUCUUAAGGUGGUGAAAUGCCUCAUCAUCUAAUUAGUGGCAUUCAUGAAUGAAUGAACAGGAUUCCCAUUGUCCCUACCUACUAUCUAGUGAAAACACAGCCAAGGGAACAAGCUUGUUAGAAUCAGUGGGGAUAUAAAACCCUAUUGAGCUUGACUCUAGUCUGGCACUGUGAAGACACAUGAAAGUUGUAGGAUAAGUCAGAGGCCCUCAGGUCGGUGGUGAUUUACCAAUACUGUUAUCAUUUUUUUCAUUUACCUUGUGAGGUGGGGGCUUUUGCUUCUGGCUCAGAGCACCCAGAUCCAGCUGGUCGUGACCCACUCUGGGACAAUGGCAGGUAGGGAGCUUGAACGGGGCAGUACACCUGUCAAACGAUAAUGCAAGUGUUCUAAGGUAAGCUCAGGAGGACAGAAUACUCUGUAGAGCUGAAGGGCAAAAGCUUGCUGGAUCUCGAUUUUCAGUAUUAAUCCAGACUAUAAAGCAGGGCUUCACAUCCUUCUGAAUUUUUGGGUUUCAAGCAGGAGGUUUCAGAAAAUUACCACAGGGAUAACUGUCUUCUGGCAGCCACACAUUCAUAGCAAUGUCACAUUUUGAUCCUUCCAUGUCAGCUCUUCCUUUCAUUUUAAAGCAGAAUUCACCAAACGCUGGAUUGUUUACCAACUAAUAGGGUACAUGAGCAGGGUUUAGGCUGUUGUGUGACAGGUUAGUUUUUACCCUGCUAAUGAUGUGUUGUUGCAAUAGUAAUCAUGCUGAGUGUGAGAGGAACUGCAGGUUCAGACAUUUGGUGUAUGUGCUUGGCUGAGGAUUCAAUGGGCGUAGCUGCCAUAUGUGGGAUUCUGUAACUGAAGGUAUAUCUAUGGAUGUACAGCUACUUGCUAAUAUUAGGAAAUGGUUACAGUAGUUGUUAAUAAAUAGAUUCAGGGUGUGGUAUGUCUUAAACAAAUGCUGUUCCAACAUAAACAGGAGAUUUUAGGUGUGCUGCUCAUAGGUACACGGUACUCACCUCA
rnacentral:rRNA from 1 species